rnacentral:rRNA from 1 species
GAUGAACGCUGGCGGCGUGCCUAAUACAUGCAAGUCGAGCGAACGGACGAGAAGCUUGCUUCUCUGAUGUUAGCGGCGGACGGGUGAGUAACACGUGGAUAACCUACCUAUAAGACUGGGAUAACUUCGGGAAACCGGAGCUAAUACCGGAUAAUAUUUUGAACCGCAUGGUUCAAAAGUGAAAGACGGUCUUGCUGUCACUUAUAGAUGGAUCCGCGCUGCAUUAGCUAGUUGGUAAGGUAACGGCUUACCAAGGCAACGAUGCAUAGCCGACCUGAGAGGGUGAUCGGCCACACUGGAACUGAGACACGGUCCAGACUCCUGCGGGAGGCAGCCGUAGGGAAUCUUCCGCAAAGGGCGAAAGCCUGACGGAGCAACGCCGAAUGAGUGAUGAAGGUCUUCGGAUCGUAAAACUCUGUUAUUAGGGAAGAACAUAUGUGUAAGUAACUGUGCACAUCUUGACGGUACCUAAUCAGAAAGCCACGGCUAACUACGUG